UAAACCUGCCUCUUAGCGGGGGAUAACUAUUGGAAACGAUAGCUAAUACCGCAUAAAAGUCGAUAUCGCAUGAUGUUGACUUGAAAGGUGCAAUUGCAUCACUAAGAGAUGGACCUGCGUUGUAUUAGCUAGUUGGUGAGGUAACGGCUCACCAAGGCGACGAUACAUAGCCGACCUGAGAGGGUGAUCGGCCACACUGGGACUGAGACACGGCCCAG
rnacentral:rRNA from 1 species